rnacentral:misc_RNA from 1 species
CCGAGUUAGGGUCCUCUGGGCUCGACCUCCAACCCUUUGUCUACCUUACUUUACGUUGCUUCGGCGGGUCCGUCCUGAAAAGGACCGCCGGAGGGUGGAUUUACCCUCUGGCCCGCGCCCGCCGGUGGCCACCAAUCAAACUCUUGUUAAAAACGUGUCGUCUGAAGUAUUAAACAAAAUAACUAA